rnacentral:rRNA from 1 species
GAUGAACGCUGGCGGCGUGCUUAACACAUGCAAGUCGAACGGUGAACGAGGGAGCUUGCUCCCUCCGGAUCAGUGGCGAACGGGUGAGUAACACGUGAGCAAUCUGCCCUGGACUCUGGGAUAAGCGUUGGAAACGACGUCUAAUACCGGAUACGAGGCGUGGGGGCAUCCCCAACGCCUGGAAAGAACUUCGGUCCAGGAUGAGCUCGCGGCCUAUCAGCUAGUUGGUGAGGUAACGGCUCACCAAGGCGACGACGGGUAGCCGGCCUGAGAGGGUGACCGGCCACACUGGGACUGAGACACGGCACAGACUCCUACGGGGGGCAGCAGUGGGGAAUAUUGCACAAUGGGCGCAAGCCUGAUGCAGCAACGCCGCGUGAGGGACGACGGCCCUCGGGUUGUAAACCUCUUUUAGCAGGGAAGAAGCGAAAGUGACGGUACCUGCAGAAAAAGCACCGGCUAACUACGUGCCAGCCGCCGCCGUAAUAC